rnacentral:lncRNA from 1 species
GUGACAAGUAACGCAUAAUUUGUGCAUUCUAUGUUGCAAUGAUAAAAAACAAUACAUGUGAGAGGAGAAAUACAAUGUAGCUAUUUGAAUAAGCAUUUAACAUGUUUAUCUUUUUCAUUUUCAGUUUCAAAUCUAGCCAACACGGCAACAGAUUUCUGCAGGCCAUGGGGAUAAAAAUAUCACAGAACUGUUGGAUCAGCUCUCAUAGUACCAGCUUUCUUCUGAUGAACUUCCCAGUUUUAACCAGGCAAUAGCAAUGGGAGCAAUGGCAGAGAUAAUAGAUGACAUUUUACAUUGCCAAAAAACACCAACAUUAUGACAUUCUUUCAAAUCUUGAUGAAGCUAAUUCAGUCAAAUAUCAAUUCCUACUGUGGGAGAGCCUU